rnacentral:rRNA from 1 species
UACCAGCUCUCCGAGUGGUGUGGAUGUUUAUUGGGCCUAAAGCAUCCGUAGCUGGCCAAGUUAGUCCCUUGUUAAACCCACCGAAUUAAUCGUUGGCGUGCGGGGGAUACUGCUCGGCUAGGGGACGAGAGAGGCAGACGGUAUUCUCGGGGUAGGGGUGAAAUCCUAUAAUCCCGAGAAGACCACCAGUGGCGAAGGCUGUCUGCUAGAACGCGCCCGACGGUGAGGGAUGAAAGCUGGGGGAGCGAACCGG